rnacentral:rRNA from 1 species
UACGGGGGGGGCAAGCGUUGUUCGGAAUUACUGGGCGUAAAGGGCUCGUAGGCGGCCAACUAAGUCAGACGUGAAAUCCCUCAGCUUAACUGGGGAACUGCGUCUGAUACUGGAUGGCUUGAGUUUGGGAGAGGGAUGCGGAAUUCCUGGUGUAGCGGUGAAAUGCGUAGAUAUUGGGAGGAACACCGGUGGCGAAGGCGGCUCCCUGGACCGGUACUGACGCUGAGGCGCGAAAGCGUGGGUAGCAAACGGG